rnacentral:rRNA from 1 species
CAGCCGCCGCGGGAAUACGUAGGUGGCAAGCGUUGUCCGGAAUUAUUGGGCGUAAAGCGAGCGCAGGCGGUUAGAUAAGUCUGAAGUUAAAGGCUGUGGCUUAACCAUAGUACGCUUUGGAAACUGUUUAACUUGGGUGCAAGAGGGGAGAGUGGAAUUCCAUGUGUAGCGGUGAAAUGCGUAGAUAUAUGGAGGAACACCGGUGGCGAAAGCGGCUCUCUGGCUUGUAACUGACGCUGAGGCUCGAAAGCUAGGGGAGCAAAUGGGAUUAGAUACCCCUGUAGUCCUUGUCUCUUAUACA